AUUGAACGCUGGCGGCAUGCCUUACACAUGCAAGUCGACCGGCAGCACGGGAGCAAUCCUGGUGGCGAGUGGCGAACGGGUGAGUAAAGUAUCGGAACGUGCCCAGUCGUGGGGGAUAACGUAGCGAAAGUUACGCUAAUACCGCAUACGAUCUAUGGAUGAAAGCGGGGGAUCGCAAGACCUCGCGCGAUUGGAGCGGCCGAUAUCAGAUUAGGUAGUUGGUGGGGUAAAGGCUCACCAAGCCGACGAGCUGUAGCUGGUCUGAGAGGACGACCAGCCACACUGGGACUGAGACACGGCCCAGACUCCUACGGGAGGCAGCAGUGGGGAAUUUUGGACAAUGGGCGAAAGCCUGAUCCAGCCAUGCCGCGUGCAGGAUGAAGGCCUUCGGGUUGUAAACUGCUUUUGUACGGAACGAAAAGGUUUGGGCUAAUAAGCUGAGCUCAUGACGGUACCGUAAGAAUAAGCACCGGCUAACUACGUGCCAGCAGCCGCGGUAA
rnacentral:rRNA from 1 species